GACAGAGGGGGCAAGCGUUGCUCGGAAUCACUGGGCGUAAAGGGCGCGUAGGCGGGAUGGCAAGUCAGUCGUGAAAUCUCUCGGCUCAACCGAGAAACGUCGGCUGAUGCUGCCGUUCUUGAGGGAUGCAGAGGAGACUGGAAUUCCCGGUGUAGCGGUGAAAUGUGUAGAGAUCGGGAGGAACACCGGUGGCGAAGGCGGCAUCCUGGACCGGUAUUGACGCUGAGGAGCGAAAGCCAGGGGAGCAAACGGG
rnacentral:rRNA from 1 species